rnacentral:rRNA from 1 species
AUGGCUGGCCUGAGCGUUCUCCUAGAGACCCACGAGAGCAACUCCAUCAAGGCCAAGAUCAUCAGCAAGGCCACUCUCCAUAGCCCCAAGAUCUCCUCGUCCCCUUGGUCGCCGGCAGCGAGGCCCACCGCAAGCACGGGUUCCUUCUUGCAGCGCUGCUUGCUGUGCCACAAGGAUCUAGCCGAGAACAAUGACAUCUACAUGUACAGAGGUGACAAGGCGUUCUGCAGCGUGGAGUGCCGGUGCAGGCAGAUCUUCAUGGACGAGGACGCCGGCAGCAGCUUCUGCGCCAAGGGCGCCUCCACCGCCGCCGUGCGGUCCGGCCGCCGCGCCAGUGCCACCGGCGGCGGCGUGAGCUUCGCGUUCUGA